AUCGCUUCUCGGCCUUUUGGCUAAGAUCAAGUGUAGUAUCUGUUCGUAUCAGUUUAAUAUCUGAUACGUCCCCCAUCGGGGGACUACAUAUUAAAUGGAUUUUUCGAACAGGGAGUCGGAAAUGGGGCUUUGCUCCGUCCGCUCCACGCAUCGACCCGGUAUUGCAGUACCUCCGGGAACGUGCAACACUU
ensembl:snRNA U2 U2 spliceosomal RNA